rnacentral:rRNA from 1 species
AACGAACGCUGGCGGUAGGCCUAUACACAUGCAAGUCGAGCGCACCUUCGGGUGAGCGGCGGACGGGUUAGUAACGCGUGGGAACGUGCCCUUCUCUACGGAAUAGCCUCUGGAAACGGAGAGUAAUACCGUAUACGCCCUUUGGGGGAAAGAUUUAUCGGAGAAGGAUCGGCCCGCGUUAGAUUAGGUAGUUGGUGGGGUAACGGCCUACCAAGCCUACGAUCUAUAGCUGGUUUUAGAGGAUGAUCAGCAACACUGGGACUGAGACACGGCCCAGACUCCUACGGGAGGCAGCAGUGGGGAAUCUUAGACAAUGGGGGCAACCCUGAUCUAGCCAUGCCGCGUGAGUGAUGAAGGCCUUAGGGUCGUAAAGCUCUUUCGCCUGUGAUGAUAAUGACAGUAGCAGGUAAAGAAACCCCGGCUAACUCCGUG